rfam:Ixodes scapularis strain Wikel colony gcontig_1107728657446, whole genome shotgun sequence.
UCCUGGUUAGCUUAGUUGGUAGAGCGCUUCACUGCAAAUGGAGAAAUCGCUGGUUUUAUACCAGGGCCAGGUG